AUCGCUUCUCGGCCUUUUGGCUAAGAUCAAGUGUAGUGUUGCCCAUCACAUUCAAAGAGCUUUAUAAAUCUAGUUUUUUUUUUUUAACCAUGGGGUAGAGGUGUGGUAUAGAUGCUAAUGAUUAAUUUUGUUUUAAAAUGUGCAGUUUUACAUGUUUAAGAAGUGAAAUCUUAAU
rnacentral:snRNA from 1 species